rnacentral:rRNA from 1 species
GAUCCUUUGGCUCAGGAUGAACGCUAGCUACAGGCUUAACACAUGCAAGUCGAGGGGCAGCAUGGUCUUAGCUUGCUAAGGCUGAUGGCGACCGGCGCACGGGUGAGUAACACGUAUCCAACCUGCCGUCUACUCUUGGCCAGCCUUCUGAAAGGAAGAUUAAUCCAGGAUGGCAUCAUGAGUUCACAUGUCCGCAUGAUUAAAGGUAUUUUCCGGUAGACGAUGGGGA